UCAGUAUGAGUCAUGCCUGUUUCAACUCAUCUUCUAUCCAGCGAGACGGUAUUCACAUCAUAGUAACUUAGCAAAUUAACAGGGCAUAUAAUAUCUAGCAAUAGUCAAUAUACCAUCAACUUACAAUCUAUAACAUAAUAAACAUCAUCACAUGACAGGGAACUUCCAUUUUGUUCCAACAUGAAGUAAAGCUUCUUCUAACUUUAUAGUCGGAGCUGAUCUACAAGGACGUCCACACCACCAUUGGAUUUGUCCUUAGAAUCUGAUGGUCAUCAACGCACCUUGUACUCUUAAUGUACAUGCAACUACAUUACAAGAUGAAAUACAUUAGAAGGCACAUCAAACAUGAUCAUUUAGAAUAAAAACUGUUUAAAUUUUGGAGUGCACAAUACACAAUUUCACUCUACCAAAAUGAUAGGAUUUAUUUAUGUCAUGUCAACAUAAACAAUUUUCAAAAUUGAUACUGACAGCACUUCGUGGACACUUAAUUUUAUCUAGUUAAGCAAUUGCUGCAAACAAUUGAGAAGUAAACAUGCGAAAACAAAUAGUAUGUUUCCGUAAUACCACACACGGCCUAACAUGGCCUUUCCCGCAGGAACAUCCACAAUAGAUCCACUGCGCUUAGGAUUUAUUUAUUAAUAACAUUUAUGAAAUAAAUUUAUAACUUAUUCAACAUUUUUUAUAUGAAGAAAAUACUAUGUGCAGUGUCACAUACAAAUUCAGAGUAUAUUUUUAAGUAAGUCUGAUUUAUGAACAGGAUUGGUAUAGUAUAUCCUGGUAUAGUAUAUCCAUAUAUGCGUUGUGAUAUAUCCAUAUAUGCGUUGUGAUUGCAAGCAUGGUUAUUUUUGCUGAAAUAAUUUAAUCCACGUACCUAUACCUAGAUGUACGCAACACACAGAAGCGAGGUAUGCAGAUGUAUAUUGCCAGCUAAGUCAUACGUGCAUCCGUGAUUCUUUGAAGCUAUCAUCAUACAUUUAUUGUUAGCUGGGUC
rnacentral:lncRNA from 1 species